CCCAGUUCCCUAGCCCAGAAAAGCGGAUUGGAGCCCGGGAAGCUCAUUGCGAUUCCAAAGGUCACGCUGAUGCAAGAGAUGGGUUCCCAUGAUCUUGGGCAGCUCCACUCCUGUGGCUUUGCAGGGUACAGGCUUCCUCCUGGCUGCUUUCACGGGCUGGUGAUGCGGAAACUGAAGCUCAGAGAGCCCAAGUCAUUUGCCCAAGGUCCCAGUGACCUGCCGAGUGGGAAGAGCCGUGGCUGGCCGGCCUCCCAGUGGCGACGACGACCUCGCUGUGUUCGUGGCAGCGGCACUCUCAAAUCUGGGCACGGUGAUGGGAAGGUUAUUUGUUGGAAUCCCUUUGCCUUUCCAAGGGAAAAUAAACACAAAAAGUGAGAA